UUUUUUUUUUUUUUUUUUUUUUUUUUUAAAUAGCGAUUUAACAUUCAGGUUAUUUUGAAGCCUCCACAAUCAAAGGCUGUACAAGUAAAGGUUCUGCUAACACACUCACCCACAUGGUCCAUAUGUUAUAUUUUGGAUAGGCAAGAUGUUAUAUAUAAGUUUUAAUAAAUGCAGCGAGGCUAAAUGAAGUCAGGAAUCGUGAUAUUUGCAUUUACUGUUUAACCAUGAUUUUGCCUCACUCUACCAAAUGAAGACAGACAAUCCUGAGCAGGAAAGGGGAAGAGUCAUUGUCUACUUGGUUUUUACCAAUUUGUGGACAUACAAUCUAAGUUUCAAACCUACCAUCUUAGUCCUGGACUUGUUUUCUCCUUCAUUUAAUUACUCAUCUCUUUUUUCUCUUCCUUCAUAAACUCAUAUCAUGGUUCAAAUACAGAGGGAGGAAGUAUGGAGAUUACACAACUGGAUAGUAGAUCUCACAUCUGUUUGGAGAUAGGGUUAGGCUAUAGUGGAUCUGACUUGCCUUGGAUUCUUGAUUCACGUGAUGCAAGUUGCCAUCCAGAUGACUGUUGUGGUUGGUUUUGUAAUUCAAGAAUAGUAAUAAGAUUAUGUAGUGAAAAGAAAAGCUAAGGAGGAAUAUAUCUUUGUUAUUUGAUUUCAAGUAUAUUCACAAAUAGCUUUCAACACUGACAAAAGAGCGACACACAGGCACUCUUCUUGUUAAGUAACACCAAACAUCUGGAUGAAAACUGAAGAAGAAGAAUCAAGCAAAUUGCCUAUCUUUGAAUAGUCAUGAAGUGAAGCACUCAGGUCUUUGGAACAUCACACACGAACUUUUGAUGAAUGUGUAUUCCUCUUCAAAGUGAAAAUUCUAUGAAAACUGCCUUGGGUUUCUUACAGACAAAUCAUAGUGUCUUAUCUCAGAAUGAGAUAGUGUUAGAAAUGGGAGAACCCUGGAGAGGGGGUUCUUGGGGAUGGCAGAAAAGGAAAGAGGUAGUUCAUCAGAAAUAGGAUAGCGUGCAUCACCAGACAGAGUAACAGGUGCUCUUUAUUGAGGGCUCUCUGUACAGGGCACGGGCAUGGGCAUGGGCCACAUACUUCAUACUCAUUACCUCAUGGAAGCCUCAAAAAAACUGGAUAGUCAUUUGUACUACCACUAUUCUGCUACUGAUGUGACUGAUAAUACUAUUACAACUUAUUGAGUGAUUAUUACACAUCAAGAAUUUUUCUAAGCAUUUUACAUUUACUGAGUUAGUCUUGACACCAAUAUUUUCAUAGAUGAGGUCAUUGAGAACCACAGAGGUCAGCUUACCUAAUCAAUGUACUUAGAGAAGCCACUCUCUCUGCAAAGGGGUUGGUCCUAGAGAGGACUACAAUGGACAACAUUUCCUUGUGUCUCUGAAAAGCUAAGGCAGUCUCAGUCUACACCGUUUUGUCUAGAAAUCUCUUUAUCUGCUCAACAAAUGAUUUUUAUGAAUAGCUGUCUUUUGUGCAAUACUCACUGUGUAAGACACUGUUCUGAGUGCUGUUAUAAGCAUUCCAUAUUGAUAUUUUAU
rnacentral:lncRNA from 1 species